rnacentral:rRNA from 1 species
AACGAACGCUGGCGGCGUGCCUAACACAUGCAAGUCGAACGAGAAAGGGGCUUCGGCUCCGAGUAAAGUGGCGCACGGGUGAGUAACACGUGGGUAACCUGCCUCUAAGAUUGGGAUAACUCGUCGAAAGAUGAGCUAAUACCGAAUAAGACCACAGUUCCCGCGGGAACAGGGGUCAAAGGUAGCCUCUGCUUGCAAGCUAUCACUUAGAGAUGGGCCUGCGCACCAUUAGCUAGUUGGUAGGGUAACGGCCUACCAAGGCAAAGAUGGUUAGCUGGUCGGAGAGGAUGAUCAGCCAGCCUGGAACGGAGACACGGCCCAGACGCCUACGGGAGGCAGCAGUGGGGAAUAUUGCGCAAUGGGCGAAAGAUUGACGCAGCAACGCCGCGUGAGGGAUGAAGGCCUUCGGGUCGUAAAGCUCUGUCGGGAGGAACGAAUGCUCCUGAGGUUAACAGCCUCGGGAGGUGACGGUACCUGCAAAGGAAGCACCGGCUAACUCUGUG